AGAGGGGGCAAGCGUUGUCCGGACUGACUGGGCGUAAAGCGCGCGCAGGCGGUCAGAGGCGUCGGUGCUCAAAGUCCACCGCUUAACGGUGGGAGGCGUGCCGAUACGCUCUGACUGGAGGGCGGGCGAGGGUGGUGGAAUUGCCGGUGUAGUGGUGAAAUGCGUAGAGAUCGGCAGGAACACCAGUGGCGAAGGCGGCCACCUAGCCCGCACCUGACGCUGAGGCGCGACAGCGUGGGGAGCGAACUGGAUUAGAUACCCAGGUAGUCCACGCCGUAAACGAUGCCGACUCGGUCUUCGUGGGGCGAACAGCCCUGGGGGGGCCCGAGCUCACGCGCUAAGUCGGCCGCCUGGGGACUACGAGCGCAAGCUUAAA
rnacentral:rRNA from 1 species